rnacentral:rRNA from 1 species
GGGAGAGUGCGGAUUUUGGGCGUAAGCGCGCGCAGGUGGUUUCUUAAGUCUGAUGUGAAAGCCCACGGCUCAACCGUGGAGGGUCAUUGGAAACUGGGAGACUUGAGUGCAGAAGAGGAAAGUGGAAUUCCAAGUGUAGCGGUGAAAUGCGUAGAGAUUUGGAGGAACACCAGUGGCGAAGGCGACUUUCUGGUCUGUAACUGACGCUGAGGCGCGAAAGCAUGGGGAGCAAACAGGAUUAGAUACCCUGGUAGUCCAUGCCGUAAACGAUGAGUGCUAAGUGUUAGGGGGUUUCCGCCCCUUAGUGCUGCAGCUAACGCAUUAAGCACUCCGCCUGGGGAGUACGACCGCAAGGUUGAAACUCAAAGGAAUUGACGGGGGCCCGCACAAGCGGUGGAGCAUGUGGUUUAAUUCGAAGCAACGCGAAGAACCUUACCAGGUCUUGACAUCCCAGUGACCGCUCUAGAGAUAGAGUUUUCCCUUCGGGGACAUUGGUGACAGGUGGUGCAUGGUUGUCGUCAGCUCGUGUCGUGAGAUGUUGGGUUAAGUCCCGCAACGAGCGCAACCCUUAAUCUUAGUUGCCAUCAUUUAGUUGGGCACUCUAAGGUGACUGCCGGUGACAAACCGGAGGAAGGUGGGGAUGACGUCAAAUCAUCAUGCCCCUUAUGACCUGGGCUACACACGUGCUACAAUGGACGGUACAAAGAGUCGCUAACUCGCGAGAGCACGCUAAUCUCAUAAAACCGUUCUCAGUUCGGAUUGUAGGCUGCAACUCGCCUACAUGAAGCCGGAAUCGCUAGUAAUCGCGGAUCAGCAUGCCGCGGUGAAUACGUUCCCGGGCCUUGCGGGUGAGUAACACGUGGGCAACCUGCCCUGUAGACUGGGAUAACUUCGGGAAACCGGAGCUAAUACCGGAUAAUCCAUUUCACUUCAUGGUGAAAUGUUGAAAGGCGCUUUCGCGUCACUACAGGAUGGGCCCGCGGUGCAUUAGCUAGUUGGUGGGGUAACGGCCUACCAAGGCGACGAUGCAUAGCCGACCUGAGAGGGUGAUCGGCCACAUUGGGACUGAGACACGGCCCAAACUCCUACGGGAGGCAGCAGUAGGGAAUCUUCCACAAUGGACGAAAGUCUGAUGGAGCAACGCCGCGUGAGUGAUGAAGGUUUUCGGAUCGUAAAACUCUGUUGUAAGGGAAGAACAAGUACGUUAGGAAAUGAACGUACCUUGACGGUACCUUAUUAGAAAGCCACGGCUAACUACGUGCCAGCAGCCGCGGUAAUACGUAGGUGGCAAGCGUUGUCCGGAUUUAUUGGGCGUAAAGCGCGCGCAGGUGGUUUCUUAAGUCUGAUGUGAAAGCCCACGGCUCAACCGUGGAGGGUCAUUGGAAACUGGGAGACUUGAGUGCAGAAGAGGAAAGUGGAAUUCCAAGUGUAGCGGUGAAAUGCGUAGAGAUUUGGAGGAACACCAGUGGCGAAGGCGACUUUCUGGUCGUAACGACGUGAGCGAAGACGUGAA